UGUCUUCCGUGUGUAUAUAAUCAUCUUCCUUCCUCCCAGGGGCUCUUCACAAUCUCUCUGACUCUGUCUGUCUGCAGAUAAAGAAGAAAAAGAAUGGCAAGAGCUCUUGUUUUGGCAAUCCUAGCUCUUGUUCUGGUCUUUGUCACGCCUUAUGUUGAGGCCCAAGCUCCGGCUCCGGCUCCGGCUCCGGCUAGCGAUGGAACUUCGAUUGACCAGGGAAUUGCAUAUUUGCUGAUGAUUGUGGCUUUGGUGCUUACAUAUCUCAUCCACCCACUCGAUGCAUCUUCCUCCCAUUUCUUUUAGGAUAGAUAUUGAUUGAUUUUCUCAUGUGAUUUUGGUUCUAUAUGGUCUGUACUUGUCCAAGAAUUGAUUGAUUAAGUUGUUUUGAUUUUCCUUUAUUCAAAUUUCAGAUCCCUUUUAUCUUGUAA